AGUUUAUAGCAGGAGCUGUCAAAGCACAGGACUCAGGAUUCCCAGGGGAUGCAAAAGGCAGGGACCUACUGUCCAGGAUUCCAAAGAGUCUCGCUCCAGGUGCCUUUGCGGAUUACACAGGCAACUUCUUCUUGGGCCCUCCUCCCGGGCCUCCCUCAGGGGACAGAGGGAUCCCGCCCUGAGCCCAUGGCCUCAGCAAAGAGGAUCCACAGACUGCCUGGGGCCGGCCAGGUACCUGAUCAUAAGGGGAUUUCUCCAGCAUCUGCGUGCAUAGAUCGGCGCAGAGCUGGAACUUCCUGCGUCUAAAAUAGCUCCAGGCCCGGAGCAGUGGCUCCAUCUCUGAGCCCAUGGUGGUCCGGGACAACCCUCAAGGAACCCAGAGGCCCUGUACCCAGAGCCCGGCCCGGGGAGGGCGGGGUUCGGGAGCAGCGAGCGGGAGGCGUCUGGCUUUGCUGAGCAACGCGCAACGGCGGGGCCUGGCUAAGGAGGUGUCCGCAGCGCGCCUGAAAACAGGGGACGGGAAAGCCUCUGAGAGCCGACCUCAGCCAGAGAGUUUGCAAAGAAUUGCUGGCAAAAAAGUGUUCUUUUAAUGACAAUAGAUUGCAUUAACUUUGAAAAGCCACCAAGCCUUUAAAAGAAACAGGUAGUGACUUAGACACCUCGGACAGGGUCCUCCGUGCUAACGAGAGAUGCAGUUGCCUAGCAACCAUCCGGUUGCUUACCCUGUAAGUGCC
rnacentral:lncRNA from 1 species